AUGAGAGAAUACUACUGCUAUAAAUUCCAUACACGACCAAACAUAUUCAACCCAAUAUUGCACGGCGGACGGCUUUUCCAGCAAUUUGCAGUAGAUACAUAUAUCAGGAUUGAAAGCUCCAGACUGGAUUACAUGUGGCAUCAUCAAAAGGAAAUAAGAGCAGAUCUAUACCAAGGCCUUCUGGACAGCAUUCAAGCUGGAGAAAAAAAGGGAAAUGCAGUCAGAAAACGAAGAGUACUUGCAUCAUCAUUUAUUGGAGGGCCACGAGAUAGACUUCGCCGAUAUCUAGAUGCCAUCGCUUUAGUUAGAAAAUAUGGAAAGCCAGACAUAUUUCUCACAAUGACCUGCAACCCCAAUUGGGAAAACAUAACACGUGAACUACAGUUUGGACAAACACCACAAGAUCGCCCAGAUAUUGCAGUUCGUGUUUUUAGGGCGAAGCUAGAAGAAAUGAAGAAGCAACUAUUUAAGAAGAACAUUCUUGGAAAGGUCCAGGCAUAUACAUAUGUCAUAGAGUUCCAAAAGAGGGGACUACCCCAUGCUCACUUUUUACUGAUCAUGACCGGAAAAUAUAAGUACACAUGUCCAGAACAGUAUGACAGAAUCAUCUCCGCUGAGCUCCCUAACAAGCACAAAUACUCAGAGUUGUACAAAAUGGUAAUCAAACAUAUGAUGCAUGAUCCUUGUGGUGCAUUGAAUAAAUUAUGUCCAUGCACAAAGAAUCUUCCGUCAUGCAAGAACAAUUAUCCAAAGCCAUUUAAUGUAACUACAAUUCAAGGCAAGGACUCCUACCCAAUAUAUAGGAGACGCAAUGACGGUUGGACUGAAACGGUCAUGAAUUGCAAACUAGAUAAUAGGUGGGUGGUUCCUUACAACCCCUAUCUGUUAAGGAUGUUCAACUGCCACAUAAAUGUUGAGAUAUGCUCAAGCAUUAAAGCUGUUAAGUACCUAUUCAAGUACAUCUACAAGGGUCAUGACCGAGCAUCUGUAUCUGUAACUGACAACGUAGACGAAGCCAAAAUCGACGAGAUUCAACAAUACAGAGACGCACGUUGGGUGACACCACCAGAAGCACUAUGGAGAAUAUAUGGCUUCAAACUAAGCAAAAUGCACCCACCGGUCUUCCAACUGCAGCUACAUCUCCCAAAUAUGCACAUGGUUCCAUACCAUGGCAAAGAAAAAAAUAAAGAAUGUUAUCAACCGUGA
rnacentral:rRNA from 1 species